rnacentral:rRNA from 1 species
UUAAGCGACUAAGCGUACACGGUGGAUGCCCUGGCAGUCAGAGGCGAUGAAGGACGUGCUAAUCUGCGAAAAGCGUCGGUAAGGUGAUAUGAACCGUUAUAGCCGGCGAUGUCCGAAUGGGGAAACCCAGUGUGAUUCGUCACACUAUCGUUAACUGAAUACAUAGGUUAACGAGGCGAACCGGGGGAACUGAAACAUCUAAGUACCCCGAGGAAAAGAAAUCAACCGAGAUUCCCCCAGUAGCGGCGAGCGAACGGGGAGCAGCCCAGAGUCUGAAUCAGCUUGUGUGUUAGUGGAACGGUCUGGAAAGUCCGACGGUACAGGGUGAUAGUCCCGUACACCAAAAUGCACAGGUUGUGAACUCGAAGAGUAGGGCGGGACACGUGGUAUCCUGUCUGAAUAUGGGGGGACCAUCCUCCAAGGCUAAAUACUCCUGACUGACCGAUAGUGAACCAGUACCGUGAGGGAAAGGCGAAAAGAACCCCGGCGAGGGGAGUGAAAAAGAACCUGAAACCGUGUACGUACAAGCAGUGGGAGCACCUUCGGGUGUGACUGCGUACCUUUUGUAUAAUGGGUCAGCGACUUAUAUUCUGUAGCAAGGUUAACCGUAUAGGGGAGCCGCAGGGAAACCGAGUCUUAACUGGGCGUUAAGUUGCAGGGUAUAGACCCGAAACCCGGUGAUCUAGCCAUGGGCAGGUUGAAGGUUGGGUAACACUAACUGGAGGACCGAACCGACUAAUGUUGAAAAAUUAGCGGAUGACUUGUGGCUGGGGGUGAAAGGCCAAUCAAACCGGGAGAUAGCUGGUUCUCCCCGAAAGCUAUUUAGGUAGCGCCUCGUGAACUCAUCUUCGGGGGUAGAGCACUGUUUCGGCUAGGGGGUCAUCCCGACUUACCAACCCGAUGCAAACUACGAAUACCGAAGAAUGUUAUCACGGGAGACACACGGCGGGUGCUAACGUCCGUCGUGAAGAGGGAAACAACCCAGACCGCCAGCUAAGGUCCCAAAGUCAUGGUUAAGUGGGAAACGAUGUGGGAAGGCACAGACAGCCAGGAUGUUGGCUUAGAAGCAGCCAUCAUUUAAAGAAAGCGUAAUAGCUCACUGGUCGAGUCGGCCUGCGCGGAAGAUGUAACGGGGCUAAACCAUGCACCGAAGCUGCGGCAGCGACACUAUGUGUUGUUGGGUAGGGGAGCGUUCUGUAAGCCUGCGAAGGUGACCUGUGAGGGUUGCUGGAGGUAUCAGAAGUGCGAAUGCUGACAUAAGUAACGAUAAAGCGGGUGAAAAGCCCGCUCGCCGGAAGACCAAGGGUUCCUGUCCAACGUUAAUCGGGGCAGGGUGAGUCGACCCCUAAGGCAAGGCCGAAAGGCGUAGUCGAUGGGAAACAGGUUAAUAUUCCUGUACUUGGUGUUACUGCGAAGGGGGGACGGAGAAGGCUAUGUUAGCCGGGCGACGGUUGUCCCGGUUUAAGCAUGUAGGCUGGUUAUCCAGGCAAAUCCGGAUAAUCAAGGCUGAGGUGUGAUGACGAGGCACUACGGUGCUGAAGUAACAAAUGCCCUGCUUCCAGGAAAAGCCUCUAAGCAUCAGGUAACAUUAAAUCGUACCCCAAACCGACACAGGUGGUCAGGUAGAGAAUACCAAGGCGCUUGAGAGAACUCGGGUGAAGGAACUAGGCAAAAUGGUGCCGUAACUUCGGGAGAAGGCACGCUGGUGUGUAGGUGAAGUCCCUGCGGAUGGAGCUGAGACCAGUCGAAGAUACCAGCUGGCUGCAACUGUUUAUUAAAAACACAGCACUGUGCAAACACGAAAGUGGACGUAUACGGUGUGACGCCUGCCCGGUGCCGGAAGGUUAAUUGAUGGGGUUAUCCGUAAGGAGAAGCUCUUGAUCGAAGCCCCGGUAAACGGCGGCCGUAACUAUAACGGUCCUAAGGUAGCGAAAUUCCUUGUCGGGUAAGUUCCGACCUGCACGAAUGGCGUAAUGAUGGCCAGGCUGUCUCCACCCGAGACUCAGUGAAAUUGAACUCGCUGUGAAGAUGCAGUGUACCCGCGGCAAGACGGAAAGACCCCGUGAACCUUUACUAUAGCUUGACACUGAACAUUGAGCCUUGAUGUGUAGGAUAGGUGGGAGGCUUUGAAGCGUGGACGCCAGUCUGCGUGGAGCCAACCUUGAAAUACCACCCUUUAAUGUUUGAUGUUCUAACGUUGGCCCCUGACCGGGGUUGCGGACAGUGUCUGGUGGGUAGUUUGACUGGGGCGGUCUCCUCCCAAAGCGUAACGGAGGAGCACGAAGGUUAGCUAAUCCUGGUCGGACAUCAGGAGGUUAGUGCAAUGGCAUAAGCUAGCUUGACUGCGAGCGUGACGGCGCGAGCAGGUGCGAAAGCAGGUCAUAGUGAUCCGGUGGUUCUGAAUGGAAGGGCCAUCGCUCAACGGAUAAAAGGUACUCCGGGGAUAACAGGCUGAUACCGCCCAAGAGUUCAUAUCGACGGCGGUGUUUGGCACCUCGAUGUCGGCUCAUCACAUCCUGGGGCUGAAGUAGGUCCCAAGGGUAUGGCUGUUCGCCAUUUAAAGUGGUACGCGAGCUGGGUUUAGAACGUCGUGAGACAGUUCGGUCCCUAUCUGCCGUGGGCGCUGGAGAAUUGAGGGGGGCUGCUCCUAGUACGAGAGGACCGGAGUGGACGCAUCACUGGUGUUCGGGUUGUCAUGCCAAUGGCACUGCCCGGUAGCUAAAUGCGGAAGAGAUAAGUGCUGAAAGCAUCUAAGCACGAAACUUGCCCCGAGAUGAGUUCUCCCUGAGACUUUAAGUCUCCUGAAGGAACGUUAAAGACGAUGACGUUGAUAGGCCGGGUGUGUAAGCGCAGCGAUGCGUUGAGCUAACCGGUACUAAUGAACCGUGAGGCUUAACCUU